UAAGAUAAACUCAACAAAGCACUUAACAGAGUAUGUGAUAAGUGUUUAGUAAACAUCAGCUCUUUUUGAGUACUUUGUUUACUUUACAUCCACUAUGUGUCAGUCAUCAUACUGGGUACCCUAAAUAUUUUGUCAUAUUUAUUUCCCACAGUAAACCUCCAAGACAGGUAUUAUUACCCCUGAUCUGCAAUCAACUAAACUGAGGCCUGGAGAUGUUAAGAUACUCCUGAAGGUCACACACCACAUGAAAGGGCUGACAGAUUUAACUUUCAAGGCCAUGGGAAGCCAGAUGCAAAUGUCACUCAGGAGGCAGGGCCAGAGUUGGAGAGUCCCAGGGAAAGAAGGCCUAAGCCUGUAUGUGGGCCAGGGUAGCAGAGGAAAUCAGAUUCUUGUCCAGAGUGGUUGACAGCACAGCUGGAAAUAAUGUGCUGAAUGUCAAAUCUGAUGGGUGAAGCAGAAGAACAAGGAGAAUGAAUGGUGUGGAUGGCAAUCAGCAAAGGCAAGAAAGAAGACAAUAUAGGUUCCUGGGAGGAGGGGAAGGCCAUGGUCAGUGAGUCACGAUAGAGGAGAGUGAGUGUGCCAGAGCUGGCUGGCCUGGGUUAGGCACUUUCCCUCCCUGGACCUGUAGAAAGGGGUAAUAAUUCUUAGGUCCCAGGGCUGAGGUAAGGACUAAAUGAAGCACUGCACAGAAAGCUCUUUUCAUAAUGUUUGGAACCUGUGAAGUGUUUAACAAAGGAUCUGGAAAAAAAAAAUCCAGACUAGUAUUUGGAGAAUACAUUUCAGAAAGAGUAAGAGAGGUCAUUUUAUUCAUGCUUUAACAGUGAGGGUCCCAGCUUCAGUCUAUUGUGAAGGAUGGUUGGGGCCAGCUCUUGCAGAGGUCUGAUCAAGGAAGAUCCUUGGAGGCCUACAUCAGCACAAAGGGGACAUGUGCUAGUCCUGCUUUAGGGAAGGAGGAGGGUGACAGUGGGAUAUAUGACUGGUGGACCUGUGACUGAGUCCCAGGAAGAAAGGGUUGCAGGUAGAAGCUGUUUCUAAAAGGGCCACAGAGCUAGGAAUGUAGAGAGGGGGAAAAGAACAUUUUCCCAAUUUUUGGACUGAAAAGCCUGCAGUUUCAGUUGCUAUAGUAUUUCUUGUCCCGGAAGCUUGAUAUAAGCAGGAAAUACCUUUGGUUGGUCAUCAGAUUUCUCCUGGUGGGUGUUGGGACUGACUAGGGUGGAGCACUCUCAAUUACAGGAAGUAGGAAGUAGGGAACCUCAUGGGCGGGGCUGAGCAGGAAAGAAGCAACACGGUAGAUGGCAUGUAAAGUGGAAUGCAUCCUUUGUGAGUUAUGUGUGAUGUCACUUUGAAACUUCCAGAAAUAACUAAGCAAGACUUUGAAGGAGCCUGGAGUCCUGCAUUGGCAGAUUGGGGAAGAGAGGCAUCUAGAGGUAUCUACAGCCACCAGCCCUCUAGUGACAAAGCGAGAACCUCAGACUCAAGUCUCCAACAUUCCAGUCUGUGCCUUCUUCAUGUUCCUGGGCAGCUUUGUUCAAGCAUCUAUAAUGGCUUCCUAUUUCUAACUGUACCAAAUUAAAAUGUUCUGGUCUGGCA